GGAAUCCCAAUCCAUCUUUGAACGUCGUCACGCGUCACAUCGUCCUGCCUGAUCUGACGAUGGGAAGCUGAAACGUGCUCAGAUAAAGAGGCGUCUGAAAAAGAUGUGCAGAUGACAGAUGAAACAUAAACAACAGCUGGUGUUGUUGAACAAAAGCAAAGACCCAUGAGCAAGCCAGGUACGAGGACCUUGGAGCCCUCACACCCUGUGGAGCUUUCACUAAUCUGUGAAAUGUCGUGAAAACAGACAACCCUGGCCUAAACCCCGACAGGAGCAAGCCUAAGGCAACAGUGGC